AGUAACACGUGGGUAACCUGCCCAAGAGACUGGGAUAACACCUGGAAACAGAUGCUAAUACCGGAUAACAACACUAGACGCAUGUCUAGAGUUUGAAAGAUGGUUCUGCUAUCACUCUUGGAUGGACCUGCGGUGCAUUAGCUAGUUGGUAAGGUAACGGCUUACCAAGGCAAUGAUGCAUAGCCGAGUUGAGAGACUGAUCGGCCACAUUGGGACUGAGACACGGCCCAAACUCCUACGGGAGGCAGCAGUAGGGAAUCUUCCACAAUGGACGAAAGUCUGAUGGAGCAACGCCGCGUGAGUGAAGAAGGGUUUCGGCUCGUAAAGCUCUGUUGGUAGUGAAGAAAGAUAGAGGUAGUAACUGGCCUUUAUUUGACGGUAAUUACUUAGAAAGUCACGGCUAACUACGUGCCAGCAGCCGCGGUAAUACGUAGGUGGCAAGCGUUGUCCGGAUUUAUUGGGCGUAAAGCGAGUGCAGGCGGUUCAAUAAGUCUGAUGUGAAAGCCUUCGGCUCAACCGGAGAAUUGCAUCAGAAACUGUUGAACUUGAGUGCAGAAGAGGAGAGUGGAACUCCAUGUGUAGCGGUGGAAUGCGUAGAUAUAUGGAAGAACACCAGUGGCGAAGGCGGCUCUCUGGUCUGCAACUGACGCUGAGGCUCGAAAGCAUGGGUAGCGAACAGGAUUAGAUACCCUGGUAGUCCAUGCCGUAAACGAUG
rnacentral:rRNA from 1 species